UCUCGAUAGCGUAAAAGUUAAGUAAAUUUUUAUGGAAAUAAUUUGUAUGGAGUUGGAACGUUUGCCUAUGUUUGCCGCUAGGGGCACUGUUUCAGCUGCAUACUAAUUUCAGGUAACUUUUACGCUAUCGA
rnacentral:pre_miRNA from 9 species